GCUACGGGAGGCUGCAGUGAGGAAUAUUGGUCAAUGGACGAGAGUCUGAACCAGCCAAGUAGCGUGAAGGAUGACUGCCCUAUGGGUUGUAAACUUCUUUUAUAAAGGAAUAAAACGAGGCACGUGUGCCUUUUUGCAUGUACUUUAUGAAUAAGGAUCGGCUAACUCCGUGCCAGCAGCCGCGGUAAUACGGAGGAUCCGAGCGUUAUCCGGAUUUAUUGAGUUUAAAGGGAGAGUAGAUGGGUUGUUAAGUCGGUUGUGAAAGUUUGCGGCUCAACCGUAAAAUUGCAAUUGAUACUGGCAGUCUUGAGUACAGUUGAGGUAGGCGGAAUUCGUGGUGUAGCGGUGAAAUGCUUAGAUAUCACGAAGAACCCCGAUUGCGAAGGCAGCUUACUAAACUGUGACUGACAUUGAUGCUCGAAAGUGUGGGUAUCAAACAGGAUUAGAUACCCGUGUAGUC
rnacentral:rRNA from 1 species